rnacentral:tRNA from 1 species
GGUUCCAUAAUGUAGUGAUUAUCAUGUCUACUUUACACACAGAGUCCUGGGUUCGAGCCCCAGUGGAACUA